UACAGAGGGUGCGAGCGUUGUUCGGAUUUACUGGGCGUAAAGGGCGCGCAGGCGGUUCUGUUUGUCGAGUGUGAAACGCCCCGGGCCUCAACCUGGGAACUGCGCUCGAAACGGCAGAACGUAGAGUUCGGGAGAGGAGAGUGGAAUUCCCAGUGUAGAGGUGAAAAUUCGUAGAUAUUGGGAAGAACACCGGUGGCGAAGGCGGCUCUCUGGACCGAUACUGACGCUGAGGCGCGAAAGCGUGGGGAGCAAACAGG
rnacentral:rRNA from 1 species